rnacentral:rRNA from 1 species
CCCUUAGAUGUUCUGGGCCGCACGCGCGCUACACUGAUGCAUUCAACGAGUUUCUUCCUGGUCCGAGAGGAAUGGGUAACCUUUUGAAAGUACAUCGUGAUAGGGAUAGACUAUUGCAAUUAUUGGUCUUCAACGAGGAAUUCCUAGUAGACGUAGUUCAUCAGACUGCAUCGAUUACGUCCCUGCCCUUUGUACACACCGCCCGUCGCUCCUACCGAUUGAAUGCUCGGGUGAGCCAUUCGGACUUUCAUCAUGCUGGUUUCCAGUUUUGAUGAAGGAAAGUCUUGCGAACCUUAUCAUUUAGAGGAAGGAGAAGUCGUAACA